rnacentral:pre_miRNA from 7 species
UGCUGAAUUUGAAAGAACCUAGUGGGGAAACCCUCACUCAAUUCCCGAUUUGGUGUGCACCCAAGAAUCACGAACAAACAG